CAGCUCAGUCAGUAGAGUAUGAGACUCUGAAUUUCAGGAUCAUGGAUUCGAGCCCCACAUUGGGCAAAAGA